AUUGAACGCUGGCGGCAGGCUUAACACAUGCAAGUCGAGCGAGCGGCGGACGGGUGAGUAAUGUCUGGGAACGUGCCUGAUGGAGGGGGAUAACUACUGGAAACGGUAGCUAAUACCGCAUACCAUCAGAUGUGCCCAGAUGGGAUUAGCUAGUAGGUGGGGUAAUGGCUCACCUAGGCGACGAUCCCUAGCUGGUCUGAGAGGAUGACCAGCCACACUGGAACUGAGACACGGCCCAGACUCCUACGGGAGGCAGCAGUGGGGAAUAUUCGACAAUGGGCGCAAGCCUGACGCAGCCAUGCCGCGUGUAUGAAGAAGGCCUUCGGGUCGUAAAGUACUUUUAGCGAGGAGGCGUUACUCGCAGAAGAAGCACCGGCUAACUCCGUGCCAGCCGCCGCGGUAAUAC
rnacentral:rRNA from 1 species